rnacentral:tRNA from 1 species
AGUGAUGAAGCAAAUAUUGCAAUCAGUUUCGACCUGAUCUUAGAUAUAAUAAUUUAUCCCUCACUU